UGGAUGGUUGGACUAGGUGAUCUUGUAGGUCUUUUCCAACCUAGCUAAUUCUAUGAUUCUAUGAACAUUGCAAAAGCUGGGGACAUACAGAAGACCUUGAGAGCAUCUUCAGCAAGUCUGAAGAUGAUAUAAAACUGAAAAGAGUGGUGGAUGCACCAGAUAGUUGUGCUGCUAUUCGGAAGCACCUUGAUGGGAUGGAGAAAUGGGCAGGCAGGGACCUCACUGAGUUCAAUACAGGGAAGCACAAAGUCCUGCUCCUGGGAGAAAUGACUUCAUGCACCCAUAAAUGCUGGGAUUUAAUCAUCUGGAAAGCAGCUGUGCAGGUAAAGAUAAUAUUACAAUAGAUAAUAUACAUCGUCCACCGAGUAGUUGUGGAGUCAGAGAGCAGCCUUUUGUGACUAGUUCUGUGUCCCUCCAAGUGUUUGUUGACCACCAGUAUUAUGAUUUGCCAAUAGAGACUUGCAGGGCUUAGAAAUUCAGACAGCCUUCACUCCCAGCAUGCUCAAGGAACACGAAAAAUAGCUAGAGUCAUUCCCACAAGAACACAGCAUAACGCAGUGAUUUCUGAAAACUCCCAGACCCUAAGGCUAGAGGAAGAGAAAGGCGAUCUUCUGGCAUUUCUGAGUCUUACUUAAUAGUGGAAUACUGUUCUUGGACGAACUUUGAACUUCAUAGCAAGGAUAAAAUUAACACGCUGCUAAGAAACAUUGCCAUUAAUCUUAUCAGCCAGAUAAAAGUUAAGCUAAAGUAGCUAAAAGCUGUAUGCAAAAGUCUUAAGUUAGCAAUUCUUUAUCUGACUGAUAAAGACCUGUUCUUAUGUCUUUACUGCUACUAUCAAAUUCAAGGUGUCAAAGAAAAAAAAAAGGGAAGCAAAUAUCACUUUAUAACACCAUCACUAGUAAUCAAGCACUUUCUCUUCACAAUCGUAGGUGAUAAAGCAGAGCUGUAAAGCCAUCUGCCCUGAUCUUGUAGAUGACAGUAAUUUUUGAUGCAGUUUACAUAAAUGAGAAUUCAGCCAUCAAAUCUGCAAAGACCUGAAUUUGGUUACUGUGGAUAUUCAAACACGUACAACUGAUACUUGCCUGUUCCUUCUAUUCAAAAUACGAUGUAUGAAGGAAAAAAAAAAAAACUGGAGACAUGAAGAACAAUGUCCUGCACCACUAUCACAGCCUUAAGAGAGUUAUCAUUUCAGAACGGGGCAUUUCUGUUCCUAACCUUGUGUAUCUAACCUGAACGUACCUGAAUCUGCCUACUAUAACUCAAGGGGUUCAAUGACAGAUCCACUGACCUGCCUGUUGUAAAGGAGCAGAAAGCCUUCCUUCUGGUAGCUAAGCACAGAAUGCUUUAAAUGUUGGAAAAGCAUGGAUGGAAAUUACUAAUACAGCAUUAUACUAGAGAAAUGCAUCUGUACUGGGGAACUCCAAGUUUGAUCGUGAACUGCAAGUUUAUCAAGUAUUUAAGUAUCUUUAUGAUUAGAAACAAAGAGGACUGCCAUCAGCCAAAGCAGCCAAAGGGCUUGUGGAAUUCACUGGUUAGAAAACACGCUCCACCAAACGUACACUGAGAAGCAGAGCUAUUGCAAGGUCUGUUGCUAAUGUCCCAAGAGUCAAUUUUCAGAACAGUGACUCUUCUCAUUUCUUUCUUUUCUCUCUGACCUCAUUCCUCAGGCCCCUUAUGCCCAUUUACUUAUCAUCUUAAGUAAUUAUAAAAUGAUACCAAGCCAGAAUUGAAUUAUUUUUUGAACAAGCACAAAGCAGAUGUAAAAUGACUGGGUGGGGUUAUACGGAAUGAGUUUUCUUAGUUUCCUUGGACUGCACUUAUCAUCCUUGUUUCUCCUUUGCUACUCCCACUAAAUACACUAAUGAGUAGAUGUUUUAGAACUGCAGCCUUCAGGUAAAGCUUCAUAAAUUUAGAAAUAACUUGUGAACCAAACAGAACAGCUGUGCAGGUGGUAAGAUAAGAAAUGCUCUCCAGGAGACUUUCUUGGGAGUCUUUAAAAAAACCUAAUAAUCAGGACCAAUCCCUGUGCAGAUUUCAGACAGAAAAUUUCCACUCUUCCACGUAAAAAGUUGAGAUGCCUGCAUAGAUGGUGUUGCUUAAGAGACAAAAGCUCCUCCAGACACCCGUUCCCAGUUCUACCACAGGAGCUGCCAGCCCAUCUGCACAAGCCCAGAGCAGCACAGGGGAUCAGUGAUGGGGCCAGGGGAGUCCCAGCCCACUCUGGGUGCGGGGGCACUGGGGGUUGGUGCGGGACAGCUAUCAGGAACCAGGGAAUCUUCAUCAACCAUGUGUGUAUACAGAUAACUGUUUGUUCCAGCAACUGAAGGAGGCCUCAGGGGGUUACGUGGCCAGCUGCCACCAACUGGGGACACAGGGAUGCAGCAGCUAGCAACAGGACCCUCAGUGUCUAAGCACAGUUGCUAGAGGGAUGCACCUUGGAGAUACAAACAUAUAUGGAUAUAUCUGUUAAUUUAUACAUAUUCUGAAUGUGGACCUCCAUCCUACUCAAACAGAGAAGGAGGACAAGACGGUUGGUGCUGUCUGCCUAACCUAUGUGGCUGCCCAUGCAUACAUACAAAUAUAUUGUGUACGCUCUGUGUGCCUGCUGGGAAUAUGUCUCUAGCCUUGGUACUCACAGGAACCUGGGGACAUGGAGCAGCAGCAGCCUCACCUGCCUCAGACUGCUGAGUUUAGCAUGAUUUUACCCUAACAAACUGAUAUUUUACUCACUGAAAAGAAUGUAAUCACAAGAUGUGAGGUGCUGAGAUCCUUGACAUGGAAAAUAGUAACAAAUUAGAUCAUUAAAAAAGACUAAGAAACUUACCCCUUGUGCAUAAAGAGGUAUCUUAUACUUCAUGUUCCUUAGAGAAAAAAUAAAUAAAACUCAAUACUAUUUAUUAUUUAUUUAUUUAUUAGUAUCUAAUGUUAUCUCUUAUCAAAUAGCAAUCUUUUGUUUGUUUUCAACAAGAUAAUGUUUUGGAAACCUGUUAUUGAGCUGCUUAAUCAGUUUCACAUAAGGCAGACACCUGUGGCACUUUGAGCAGCAAACACUGGUCUCCCCUGCCAGGUAGAGAUAAGAGAUGGCUUGUUUCCAGUGCAGACUCUUUGAUCCUAUUUACAUGGGUUCUCGAGGACAUCAUUCUCAUUUGUGUUUUGUGGCUUUAGUGACACUGGGUAUGAAUCUGCAAUAUCCACCCCUUCCUAACAUUCCCCUUGAACUCCAAAAGCAGUAGCUACAGGCAGUAAAACAAAUAAGUUAAUCAUAAUGAUAUCAUGGCCAAUGACCACUUUGUUUAUUUUGAGCCAACUGAUAAGGAUGCACAGCUCUUCUUGCACCUCAGGUCAGGUAACCAUUAGCUAGGUUCACUUCUGUGGGGAAAAUCCACUGCCAAAAACUGUUUUGGAGCAGGCUUCAUUGAGGCCAUUCAGGUGCUGAUCGGAAGAGAAAACAUGGGUCAAGAUCAAGCAUACACACCAAGCUAACUCAGAAUCAUUUCCACAGCGCAUGUAACGUUGGUGCACCAAUGAUCUCCAGCUGAACAUUAGAACCGUUCAUGACCUGGCACUCUUUAUCCAUCUUCUUCUAGCCAAGUGGAACCAGCACGCAACAAACAAGUGCCUGAUCACGUAGCGGGGUAUAGUUACAUGCUGCACUUUCUUCAGUGGAGAAAGCACCUAACAAGUCCACCUAUCAUAGAUUGCUUCAUCAACCCUGUUUACACACACCACUACCUUCCCAACUGGCUGCAUCAAGUUAAAAAUAAACAAACAAACAAAAAGAAAAAGCAAAAGGUUGCUGUUUAUAACCACAAUAAUUUCAGUGAUCAUAUUUAUAGCACAAACGUCUGAAGCCAAAGGGGAAGCUGAAGGACAGUGAAUCACACUGCAGUUACAGGAAUAAAUGACUGGGUCGGGAGGAGGGAAGAAAACAGAGGGUUUCGAAUGCAUAAACUGAUAUUCCAGUAUCACUGCUGACAACAAAGCAUGAAGUAACUAUCUUAUUUAACUAAUAGAGGUUUUGAAGCUUCCAAGGAUCCUGCAGGGAUGCUCCCUUCCUAAUGCUUUUGGAAAGGAUUUGCCCCUCUGCAGAACAGGGUACAACAACUGCCGUGCUUGAAGAAAUUCCCAAACAACUGUUGCUUCUGAAAAAGUCAACAAAGAGCUUCACCAUAAGGCAGAUAUUCUCUUGGGAAGUAGUACUGAUAGCUAUUUAAUCAAGCUGCCGUUCUCUUCAUAUAGUUUUGAGAGAGAAGUUCAAUUUCUGCAUUCCCAUGAGGAUGUGUGUUUGGAAGAAAUGGAUAGUUCCUUGUCAGCUGAUAUUAUAACACAGUUUUUCAGGGUAUGUUGUUUGUGCAGUAGGUACCAAGCUAAAUCCUGUAUGAGCAGCAAGUAGGACUUGACUUAUGACCAAUCCUGCCCUCAUUUAGGCAACUGCUACUUGGCUCAGAUUCUGUUAUCCAAGCGAUAGCGUCUUCCUGACUCCUGUGUACUUAAGGGAGUUGCCUCAUGCUCUGAGGAGAUUGCCAGCCAGUGGAAAUGACUUUCCUCAACUUUCUGACGUCAGAGUUAUGCACGAAGGCCACAGCGCGCAGUGGGCAAUACCGCUUUUUGCUGAAAUAUUUAAAAUUCACAGUAACAAACCUGUACAGAAGUUUUUCAGUGCUUCACACCGGCCCCUGCAGACUCACCUUAUGCCCUUGCAUUUCUUCUGAGGCUGAUAACAUAGCUCAUAGAAAAAGAAAUGUCUAACGCUCCCUGGGAACUUAAACACCAGCUGUCACAUAAUGAAUGCGUCACAGUAAGUGUGAUGGUUCUGUGUCUGCCCUCUGCUACGUAAGUAAAACUACUAAUCUUGAUCCACAUAAAAAAGUGGUUCCACAAUCGCAACAGUGCAAUUAAGAUGGGACAACAUAUAGAAAUUGUUUCGGACUGACUCAUUAUCAGUUUGUGAUGAAUACCUUCAUACGUUGAAGGCUUUCCACUGAAGAGUACAAGAACGAUAAAAUAACCUGCCAGACUGCUGCACUCACAGCUGUACUUUAACCUGACAAGCCUAUGGAAGCACUGAUUUUUCAGAGGUGCUGGUGAGGUCUUCAUUGAUCAGCGGCAUUUAUAAGGUAGAACUGAAGAUAUGAAUAUUGCAAGAAGAUGAUUAAGAAAAUAGUGGUGCUCAUCAUUCAAGCACUCAAGAAGGGUAGGAAUCCACCUAUCAAAGCAUUAUCUAUACCAGAUCAGCAAAGAUGUCAGUCUGUAGGGACAAAGAAGAGUCCUCCAAGUGACUCCCAGCACAAUGGAUUCCUUCAAGAAAUAACCCAAACAGGUCACAAUGACCAAGGAGCUGAAAAAGCAAUACGAGUGCCUGGGUGAGGACCAUCAAACAAAAUGAAUAAAGGCUCAUUGAGUUAUUUUCUGGUCUGACUUCCUCUUACAAGAAGCUUCCUUCGAUACAAACACAUAUACAAAAGCCCCAGGUCAUCUGUUAGCUAUAUGGACACAAGUACAGCAGGAUCUGGAGCACUGCAAUACCAAAAGAUCAUAAGCAUCAAUUUUAAACAUGAAACUAGAGAACAAAAAGAAAUGGAAACAUACUACAGAUCUGAAAAUGAGUAAAUAAGUACAGUGCAAAAUUCCACGCUGAACUGUGAAACAGACCACAGAUAAAGAAACUUAACAUAAAUAAGAAGGGCUUAAAAAACAUUUUGCAGUCAAAACUCUGUAGCUAUGGCACUACGCUAGUGAGCGGGACAUGCGAGGCUAAACCUCAGUGUGUGGAAGCAGCAGCUGGACUCAGUUCCCACUUUUUCCAGAAAAGGACUGCAAGCACAUUGUGCCAAAAAGGUUUGAAAGCUGCAGCAAAAGUUAAGCAUUUAAAGAAGGUAUUACAAAUGCCUGCAUCUAUGAAAACGACCUGUGGCUUUGUUCCAGCCAUGACUUACACAUGCCUCCUCAGACAUGUCUGAGCCCAGCAGAGCUCCUGCCACAACUGGAGCAGGCAGCGUUCCCUGACGGACACCUCAGAACAGCAACCCAUGCUCUAUCCCGCACAGCAUAUUAAGGUUUUAAUUCUGUUCCAUGAAAACCAGGUGCCCAGAAUUCAAAUUUUAUAAUGCCAAGCCUUAAUCUGGUCCAGCCCCGGUGGACUGGACUCCAGCAAGGACGUUUCAAGCAACAGACACUGCAGACUCUUAUUUUGAUCGGAGAGUUCUGCCCGUGCUUUAGUUCUGAGAGAUUAUUUGAGAAGCUCUCCAAAGCCCCAGCCCUGUCACAGAAUCCGAUCUCCACAAAAUGAAUGAAAAUGAACAUUCUGACAUCAGCUCUAGCCCAACUAGAAACUCAGGUUUAGACUAAUAAAUUAACAUACACUAAUCAGCUGAAAAAAAAACAACACCACACAUGCAGACACAACAGCAAAAAUCCAAACCAAACUGGAAAACAACUAAAACGCUUGCAUAUUUCUGCUGAUAAACUUGUGAAGAACAAAAGGCUAUGGAUAACUACUAAUAAAAUAGUAGAAAUACCAUCAACAAGGUUAGUCAGCAACUGAGACAACCCAUCAGGACACUACACUGUUUAAUAGGUCUAGAGAAGGAUACACAUCAGGAUAAGGAUGGCGUUUAUUUCAUUAAACUUCACUGGGUAAUUAAUAGGUUGAUUUGAGCUUGAGAACUUUAGCUACAGUGUGUACUUCUGCUUAAAGUUACAGAUUGAUCAAACCACUGGGUAGAAAAACAUUUGCUGUAGGAGAACAAGUUCUUAUGGAAAAACUCCAUCAGCAUUGAAACGUAAGAAAAAUCAGCAGGCAGCAGUUCAUCACAUGCAGAACGAUGCAAAUGUUGGGUCAUGGGGAAGUGACCUUCAUGUAAAUUAAUGGGGGAACAAACGACAGUAGGGCAACCUACUUUGGAGUUGCAGAGGUGGUGUAAGAAAUCAGAGGGAAUGAAAGCCCUGAUGGCUUUCUCCCUGUGUGUUAAUGCCAGAGGAGGAAGAAUGGGCAGCUGAAAUAACUCAAACUGUUCCUAGGGAUCUUGUAUACUCGAGUUCAGUAGUCAAACUGACAUCUACUGUACAUGCACAGACACACUGUCAUUAUAGUUGCGUUAUUCCUUGAGAUCCACUGUUCUUGUAUUACUCAGCUAAAGGUCUGAAGUUACCACAGACUGUCUGGAUACACUUAAGUAGUAGCUAGGAAAGUUACCACAACAUAAACGCUUCAGUCACUGUGUAUUCAAACUGGAGACUCGGAGACAAUGGCACAUUAAGCCUUAUUAGCUACCCGUUACAUAAAUCAGACACAGUUGGGCCUCAGCAUUUCCCCAAAUGAUUCUAGUUGCAGCCUGUCAAGCUUACAUUACUUAUAGCUGCUACUGCCUCACGGGGCUACAGCCCCAGCUCAGCAGCAACUGACAUAACCACAGCCAAAGCUGAAUAACCAGCUCAGCUAGGUCAGCCUGUGUAAGGAAAUCAAGACAACAACAACAGCCUCACAACAUCAAAAGCUAGCACUGAGGCUUGUGUUCCUUAGGGGGAAAGUUUCCUGGGACACAGAAAAGCAGAAGGCUCCAGACCCCAGAUUCCUCUGUAGCAAGAGGCUUAAGGAGAUGAGCAGACAAACCAAAAGACACCGUGCUUCUUCAGGUGGACCACGGGCUGCAGACAAAGCCUGUGUCUCACACAGGCCACAGCUAGAGUCCAAAUCAAGAACAGUUUAAGACAACAACGGUCUAUACCACAAUAAUAGUCAAAGCAGAUAGAACUGAACAGAAAAAAAAAUGCAUGUCUUUCUCAUGUUAUUAGCAAAAGAACAGAGCUUUCAAAGGCAGGUGCUAGGUCUGUGCCUCUGCACUGCAAGAUUUCAGUGUCAUCUUAAAUAAUAACCAUGUUCCUAUGUGCUUUUGGAACAUUUCAGCACCGUCAGGGACAAAAUGCUAGACCUCUGGGGAGCAAUGCGCUAAAGACACGAUUUGAACCACAGCAACACUUGAUGGCUGCUUAGUGCCCUAAGUCUUUAAGAUCUGACAGCCAGAACCCAACAGGCCCCUAAACAAGCACCUAAACAAGCACCCAGCUCAGACAACCUGGGUCAGUAGUGGCAAAGGCUGGGAAGAGUUCACUCUUUGCUACAGAUUUCCCAGUAUCGUGCUCAGCCACCUUUACCUUUUUAAACUCUAAGUAUAUUAAACAAGCUUUGAGAGCAAACUUACCCUGCCCACAGAAUUUUGUGCAGCAUGACUAACAAAAGCACACCAACUCCGGGCAGAUCACUCAGGCAGCAGUAGUAUGGUGUAGUGAUCACAGCUCAAGCCUUGAAUUAUCGGUAGAUUUUUUCCUGUUGGACUUGGAGCCUUCCUUCACUGAAAUGUGAUUCCAUCAAUAUCCCAGUAUUGCCCCACUUCCCCCCACAAAUCUAAUUUUAAGCUUCAUGAAGCUUUUAGCACAAUACUGCUGAGCCAAGGCCUAUAAAAGAAGGUAUAUGCUAUCUCAAAUCAACAUGCUUUAUCAGCUACCAACAGUUGCUCUGCUUGCGCGAAACUCCACUUUCUCCCUACACUCCUUCCAUUUCAGAGAUGCUUGGCAGUGCACUGCAUAUCAACCAAUAAAACAGUUCAGUUCAGAAACACUGCUAGAAGCAGUACUGAAACAAGUAUCCCUUGUCCUGAGAACACGGGGAAUUGCCAUAAACCAAGUAUGGCAAAAUGGGACUAUGACUACCUGAGGAACCCCGAUAGCAGAGCUGAUCUCCAGCGAGUUCAUUCCACGUGAGCCUCAUGUCUGAAGCUGUACCAUUAAUCACCUUACCUUUAUUGUUUCUACAGCAGCUGAUAAAGCAGCAUACUACUUACAAAAGUUCUGUAACAUAAAUAAAGACAUCUGUUCACUCAGAACACAUUCUAUUAUGCACUGGGUAGAAGUCUUUCUGCAAAUCACUGUCUUCUUUCGUAAAAACUUCAGGAAAAAAAAAAAAGAUAUAAAAACAAGCCAGCGGCGAGACCCAGGUCCAGACCCAGUCUUCCCCAUCCAACCAACUGCAAUAGAUACAAGAAGCAUGAAGGCACUUUCUGCUGAGUCACCACUAAGUAACAGCAGUAAGAGCACUUUUUUCAUUAUUAUCUAUCCAUAUUUUACUACUAUCUAACCGCAGCCGCUGGGCCAGUGGCACGGCGGGGCGCGGUGCAGCAGCGCAGCCCGCAGCAGGGCGCACACAGCGGGGCCGCCCGCUCUGCCGUGGCUUCCCCUCAUCCCUUCGAUGGGCUCUGAACGUUCCUAGAGCUCUCAGACUGGAAGUUGAGAAAUGCUGAGAGGCAAAGGCACGAUUCCGCCCUUUGCCAGAACACGGGAUAAAGCACAGAUAAUAGAGCUGUUGGGAAGACCUGUGGGCUGAAACUAGCGCUGCGAAGCGAAGCAGCUAUUGCCGUCGCUAAAUGCCUCCUCGCACGGCCGCUCGGAGCCACGCGGCCCGCAGUAACGGGCGCACACGAGGAAAUGACGGACCCCCCCCCGCCUCCGCCGCUUCCCCCCUUCACGUUCGCGGGUCCGCCCGCGCCCCGCACACCGCCGCUCGUCCCGCAGCUCACCACAUCCCCUCAGCGACCGCAGGGCUGGCGGGGAGGCGGCCGGGGCGAGGGGGUUCAGCGGAAACCUGCGGCUCUUCCCGGCUCGGGGACGGCCGAGCGGCACCGGGAGAGCACCGGGAGGGAGCGACACGCGGCGAUGCUGCCCCUCGGCGCGGGGUCCCCCUGCGGCCACAACCCCCCGCGCUCCGCUCACCUCCGCCCGCUACCUCCUCGCAGCCUCCCGGCCCGGCACAGCGGCCGCGCACCCAAGGUAAUGUCACCAGCUUUGAAUGAAGCGAGCUCAAGAGAAGACUAUUUAGAGGCAAAAUUACGGUGACUUCGGUUUUCCAUUGUUCCAGAAACACCGGCAGAUUCAAUAUUUCCCUCCCCUAUACUCCUCAUCUCAAGUUAAAGAAAGAUCUGAGAAGUCAGCAUCAUUACAUGGGAAGAGACCAGGCGGGUGACUGCAUCCUGAUCAGAGGGAAGACGCUUGUUCACAUGUGUGGAGAGAAGACCCAUCUCAUCUUAUUUGGGUUUCUGCUUGUACUGAGGGAAGAAAGAGCCAUGAGAGGGCAGCAGCACACAACACUGGGACUUCGUUACCUGAAACCUAUCUAAUGCCGAAGGGCUGGAUCCUGCCUUCAGGUCAGCUUCUUGCUAUGACACCACACAGAUGUCUGCUGUGGCGACAUGGGAUCGUAGGGCACAAACAAGCAUGAAAACCCAUUACAUAUGUGAGUAGACCUUACAUGGGGCCAAAGAGGAUAAUUUGGAUGGUGGCUGGAGGGGCGUAUGUCUGUGUUCAUUAGCUGGAGUCCCUCAGGUGGGUGGAGGUGUGGCAAGUUUAUAAGAGGACAGAGAGCAGGCUGCGUAAGAAACAGACCACCAACACCUCCCAGAGCCGGGGGUGUUCUUGCCUUUCUGAGCCAAGGUCAGAGUGCCAGCAGAGGUAACUUUCAAUUUGAGAACUGCAGAGGUUUCUUAAGGUAUCUCAGUUUUAAGAAAAAUAAGCCUGGCAGAAACUUACUGAUUCCCAAUAAAAUUGAUGGAAAAUUACAUAACUGCAUCACUCUGCUGAAUGAUUUUAGUCCAGGCCAUGCCUCUCUGCUGUUUUUCUGUGCGGGUGAAGAAGAGCACCCACUGCCUCCUCUCCAGUUGGAGAGCUGCCUCAGUGAGUCAGCCUGCUUGCCCCAGGGCUGGUGGGGUUUCUGUGCCUGGGGUGAUAAAGACUCCCAUAUCCAGCACCUUCCUUUCUAAACCUUUUUUUUUUUUUCUCUUUUCCAGUUUAAACAGAAUGGGGAUUUGAGUGGGAAAAGGAAAAGAGAACAGGCAAGGAAGACAAAUGUGUCCAGAAAGAACAAAACUGCUGACAUGUUGGUUCUACUCACAGCAUCUUACUUUG